rnacentral:rRNA from 1 species
GACGAACGCUGGCGGCGUGCUUAACACAUGCAAGUCGAGCGGAAAGACGCGGCGUUUGUUGGGUGCUCGAGUGGCGAGCGGGUGUGUAACACGUGAGUAACCUGCACUUGUCUUUGGGAUAACUUCAGGAAACUGGGGCUAAUACCGGGUAGAAGCUCCUGCUGCAUGGUGGGGGAUGGUAAGUUUCGGCGGUUGGGGAUGGUCUCGCGGCUUAUCCGCUUGGUGGUGUGGUUGUGGCUUACCCAGGCUUUGACGGGUAGCCGGCCUGAGAGGGUGACAGGCGACACUGGGACUGAGGGAAGGCACCGACAGCGAAGGGACGGAGAAGGGGGGAAUACUGCAGAAGGGGCGGCAGCCUGAUGAAGCAACGCCGCGGGCCGGAAAACGGCCUUCGGGUUGUAGACCGAAUGCGCAUGUGACGAUGCGUGAGUGACGGUAAUGGGUAAAGAAGCCCAGGCUAAAUAAGUG